rnacentral:rRNA from 1 species
CCGUCUUGAAACACGGACCAAGGAGUUUAUCGUGUGCGCAAGUCAUUGGGUGUUGAAAACUCAAAGGCGCAAUGAAAGUAAAGAAUCCGCAAGGAUACGACGUGUGAUCUGAGCAAUCACGAUUGCCUGGAGCAACAUGGCCCCAUUCUGGUCGCUUGCGACGGGGUGGAGGAAGAGCGUACGCGGUGAGACCCGAAAGAUGGUGAACUAUUCCUGAGCAGGAUGAAGCCAGAGGAAACUCUGGUGGAAGUCCGAAGCGAUUCUGACGUGCAAAUCGAUCGU